rnacentral:rRNA from 1 species
AACGGCUUCAACAAGCAAUAGUAAUUUGAAUUGGUGUAAAGGGUACGUAGCCGGUAGACCAAAUGGUCAACUAGAGUUAUAUAGAGGUAGAUACAAUACUUAGAGUAGGGCUGAUAUCUUAUGAUCCUAAGGGGAGUGCUAAUGGCGAAAGGCAAUCUACCAAGUAAUAACUGACGGUGAGGUACGAAGGUUAGGGGAUAAAUAGGG